CGCACUAUAGUUUAUUGAAAACAUUGACCUGCAAAAUCAAGGAAGGAAGACAAUCCUAGUGUGU
rnacentral:tRNA from 1 species